CUUUUGAAAAUAAUUUAAGGUCUAACCUGCCCACUGAGGAUUUAAAUGGCCGCGGUACUCUGACCGUGCAAAGGUAGCAUAAUCAUUAGUUUUUUAAUUGAAAGCUGGAAUGAAAGGUUGCAUGAAAAAAUAGCUGUCUCUAUUUAAUUUUUUUAGAAAUUUAUUUUUAAGUAAAAAAGCUUAAAUAAUAUUUGAAGACGAGAAGACCCUAUAGAGUUUUAUUAUUUUUUAUUUAAAAAUUAUUGGUAUUUAGUUAUUUUAUAUAAUAAAAUAAUUUAGUUGGGGUGAUUGAUAAAUUUAAUUAUCUUUUUUUAUAUUUUUACAUUUAUUUAUGAAUUUUUGAUCCUUUAUUAAAGAUUAAAAGAUAAAAUUACCUUAGGGAUAACAGCGUAAUUUUUUUUAAGAGUUCYAAUCGAAAAAWAAGAUUGCNNCCUCGAUGUUGGAUUAAAAUAAAAUUUUGGUGUAGCAGCUAAA
rnacentral:rRNA from 1 species